AAUAGAUACCCGGGUAGUCCACGCCGUAAACGAUGAUUACUAGUUGUUGGGCGAUAGUUCAGUGACCAAGGGAAACCGAUAAGUAAUCCACCUGGGGAGUACGCCGGCAACGGUGAAACUCAAAGGAAUUGACGGGGUCCGCACAAGCGGUGGAGCAUGUGGUUUAAUUCGAUGAUACGCGAGGAACCUUACCUGGGCUAGAAUGUGAGCGAAUGAUUCAGAGAUGGAUCAGUCAGCAAUGACGCGAAACAAGGUGCUGCAUGGCCGUCGUCAGUUCGUGCCGUGAGGUGUUGGGUUAAGUCCCGCAACGAACGCAACCCUAUGAUCUGUUGCCAUCAUUAAGUUGGGGACUCAGGUCAGACUGCCUACGCAAGUAGAGAGGAAGAGGGGACACGUCAGGUCAUCAUGGCCCUUAGCCCAGGGCGACACACGUGCUACGAAUGGCAUGGGACAGAGUGCAGCGAGCUAGUAAUGUAAGCGAAUCNCAAAAAACGNUGUCACAGUUCGGAAUUGGGGU
rnacentral:rRNA from 1 species